rnacentral:lncRNA from 1 species
UAAACAGUUUGCAUCAGCUCUCCCACCUGUCCUGCUUCAAGUGGAGUCCUGCCUCCUUCCAGGAAGCAGCUCACCUGUGUUUCCGUGUUUAGUGUCCAGGUGUGGAUUGGAGCUUGUUGUUCAUGUGUGUGUUUGAAGAAACUGUAGAAAGUGUGUGUGAGCUGAAUUGAGCAGCAUGGAUCAGUGUGAGGACAGAGAGGAGGGAGUCCCUCCCUCUAAAAGCACUCUGUGUGGGGAACAUGAGAGCCAGACCAAAGCUCAGAGGAACCAACCUGGACCUCCGCCCAGCUCUGUGUCCUUAAAGAGUGAGCGGUCAAUAGAUCACUUCAUUGAAUUUAAAGUCCAGCAUGGGUCUGGUGCAGAGAGGUGAGCUGUUAUUAACAUGGACUCUUUGAUUUAACUGCUUGAUGUUGUUGGAUAUAAACUGCAGUGCAAACACGUCAUUCCCUCAAUCCCAUUUAAACUGCCUCUUAAAGUAAAUUUGAAAAACUACGUGUCAAGAGUAAUUUUCACCAUGAAGCCCUUUUCCAAAAAAACCCCCAAGAAACGAUAGAUAGAUUUAAGUCUCAGGG